rnacentral:rRNA from 1 species
GUCUAUGGCCAUACCACCCUGAACGUGCCCGAUCUCGUCUGAUCUUGGGAGCUAAGCAGGGUCGGGCCUGGUUAGUACUUGGAUUGGGAGAAAUACAAACCCUGAAUUCGGUGGAGU